UGCUUACUGUUUACAUGCCCAGGUCCCCCACUACACAGGAAGAAACCCUUUCUAGCUCAUCUGUUUCCUUAAGACCGAGAAUCAGCCUGGGAUGCUCUGACUCCAGCUCCCCUGAGUUCUCAGGAUGUGAGGGGUCUAUGGUUCGUCCCCCCGCUCCAGCCUGGAGAUGACAUCAGGUUUGGAAGCUUGAAGUCCUGCUCCAGAGAAAGGAAGCAAGACCUGAAAAGUCAUCCCAGGUAGAGGGCAGGAUGGACCUGUGGUCUGAGUCUUUGUGCUGGUUGUGUCCUUCCCUGCCACCUGGUCUCUAACCGUGGAGAAAGACACAGGCCUCUGCCUAAGCUGAGGAAAGGUCAAAACUAGCUUUUCAGGAGGACGGGGAGCAUAGAUAGGACAGUGUUGGGGCCUGAACACAUCAUGGUAGAGGACUCAUAGUAGUGGG
ensembl:lncRNA novel transcript, antisense to ZNF252